UUGGGAUUUCAUUGCUUUUGGGGCCAUUUUUGUGGUAAACUUUUAGGAUUUUGCUGCUUUUGUGGCCAUUUUGUGGUAAAAAUGUGGGACUCCGUUCCUUUUGUGGCCAUUUUUGUGGCAAACCUUUGUCAUCUUUCUGCUUCACUCUCCACUCCGGGGUUAAAACCACCGGAUUUUUCCGUUUGUGGGGUCGUUUUUUGGGGUCAAACCGCGGAUUUCUCUCUUUUUCGGGGCAGCCGAUUCGUGCUUCUCGGCUCUGUUCGCCCACGACGAGAUGGCGGACAUCGCCCGCCAUUUUGUCCGCCUCCAAGUGGAGCCGCCUGGGAUGCAGCGCCGCGCCGCGCCGUUUCCGGAUGGCUAUCAGUACCCAUCCCUGGAGCAGCUGGCCGAGACGAUCCCAUACGUCCUCCAACACUUCAACGUGAAGAGCGUUAUUGGGAUCGGAGUGGGAGCGGGAGCUUUCGUCCUCGCCAAGUUUGGGGUGAGCC